rnacentral:rRNA from 1 species
GACGGAAGGUGCAAGCGUUGCUCGGAAUCACUGGGCGUAAAGGGUGCGUAGGCGGCCGCGCAAGUCGAGUGUGAAAGCCCCGAGCUUAACUUGGGAACUGCGCUCGAAACUACUUGGCUAGAGUGUGGCAGAGGGAGGUGGAAUUCCACGUGUAGCGGUGAAAUGCGUAGAGAUGAUGGAGGAACACCGAUGGCGAAGGCAGCCUCCUGGGCCAACACUGACGCUCAUGCACGAAAGCGUGGGGAGCAAACAGG